UUAUGAUCUUUAAAUUUAAAGAAUUUGGCGGUAAUUAAGUCUUUUUAGAGGAACCUGUUCCUUAAUUGAUAAUCCACGAUUGAUUUUACUUAAAUGAUACUUGUAUAUCUCUGUUAUUGAAUGUAUUAUUAGAUAAUUUUCAUUAUUUUAAAGAAUAAGAAAUAGUAGGUCAAGAUGCAGUUUGUAUUUAAGCGGAAAUGGGUUACAAUAAUUUUUUUUACUUGGAUUUACAUGUGUAAGUAUUUAAUGAAAUUGGAUUUAAUAGUAAUAUUUAAUUAGUAUAAUUAAUAUGAUUAAAGCUCUUAAUUAU
rnacentral:rRNA from 1 species